GAUGAACGCUGGCGGCGUGCUUAACACAUGCAAGUCGAACGGUGAAGGCGGAGCUUGCUCUGCUGGAUCAGUGGCGAACGGGUGAGUAACACGUGAGCAAUCUGCCCCUGACUCUGGGAUAAGCGCUGGAAACGGCGUCUAAUACUGGAUACGAGCUGCGAAGGCAUCUUCAGCAGCUGGAAAGAAUUUCGGUCAGGGAUGAGCUCGCGGCCUAUCAGCUUGUUGGUGAGGUAAUGGCUCACCAAGGCGUGGACGGGUAGCCGGCCCGAGAGGGUGACCGGCCACACUGGGACUGAGACACGGCCCAGACUCCAAUGGGAGGCAGCAGUGGGGAAUAUUACACAGCGGGCGAGAGCCUGAUGCGGCAACGCCGGGUGAGGGAAGACGGCCUUCGGGUUGUAAACCUCAUUUAGCAGAGAAGAAGCGAAAGUGACGGUACCUGAAGAAAAAGCGCCGGCUAACUACGUG
rnacentral:rRNA from 1 species